rnacentral:rRNA from 1 species
UACGGAGGGUGCGAGCGUUGUCCGGAAUCAUUGGGCGUAAAGGGCGCGUAGGUGGCCCGGUCAGUCUUUGGUGAAAGCGCGGGGCUCAACCCUGCGUCGGCCAGGGAUACUGCCGCGGCUCGAGCACUGUAGAGGCAGGCGGAAUUCCGGGUGUAGCGGUGGAAUGCGUAGAUAUCUGGAGGAACACCGGUGGCGAAGGCGGCAUCCUGGACCAAUUCUGACGCUGAGGAGCGAAAGCCAGGGGAGCAAACAGG